GUCAUAAUUGGGUGCUCUUGGUGAUGGUUGAGGUCAUAGUUGGGUGCUCUUCAUGAUGGUUAAUGUCAUAGUUGGGUGCUCUUGGUGAUGGUUGUGGUCAUAGUUGGGUGCACUUGGUCAUUGUUGACAUCAUAGUUGGGUUCUCUUGGUGAUGGGUACCACCAAGUUGGAUGCUCUGGGUGACAGUAAAGUCAUAGUUGGGUGCUUGGAUGCUCUUGGUGAUGGUUGAGGUCAUAGUUGGGUGCUCUUGGUGAUGGGUACCACCAAGUUGGAUGCUUUUGGUGACAGUAAUGUCUUAGUUGGGUGCUUGGAUGCUCUUGGUGAUGGUUGAGGUCAUAGUUGGGUGCUCUUGGUGAUGGGUACCACCAAGUUGGGUGCUUUUGGUGAUAGUAAUGACAUAGUUGGGUCCUCUUGGUGAUGGGUACCACCAAGUUGGAUGCUUUUGGUGACAGUAACAUCAUAGUUGGGCGCUUGGAUGCCCUUGGUGAUGGUUGAGGUCAUAGUUGGGUGCUCUUGGUCAUUGUUGACAUCAUAGUUGGGUGCUCUUGGUGAUGGGUACCACCAGGUUGGAUGCUCUGGGUGACAGUAACAUCAUAGUUGGGUGCUUGGAUGCUCUUGGUGAUGGUUGAGGUCAUAGUUGGGUCCUCUUGGUGAUGGGUGCCACCAAGUUGGACGCUCUGGGUGACAGUAACGUCAUAGUUGGGUGCUUGGAUGCUCUUGGUGGUGGUUGCGGUCAUAGUUGGGUGCUCUU